UCCUAACUUAUUCUUAUUUUCUUCCCGAUUAGGUUGACUAUGUGCGACAAAACUUGAAUUUGAGAUUUCAAAAAAAUAUCUCUUCAUUACUCUUGAAUAGAAAGCAACAAUCGUCAAGAAUUGAUUUGAAGUUACAAAGCUACUGAAAUGGAGAUACUUAGUUACUAAUAGUUACUGGGGAAUCAACAAACAACUGGCAGGAUUAUAGAAACAGGCGAAUAAUUAACUAUCCGCAACGAUAGCCUCACAAAUCAACGAACCAGCAGUGUAGCAACCCUCAAAUUCUGCUGAAGUUGGGAAAUUUU
rnacentral:lncRNA from 1 species